GUCCUAAUGUAGCACAGGGUGGCUCAGCUCAUCUCUCUCAGCAUGAUUUAAUCAGAACUCAAUCCAGAUGUGGCACUUGUGCUCCGACGGUGACAACAGCCAGGCCGACAUCUGCGUCCUCGUCAAUGCCGACUUCAUAGAGACGCGGAGCAAAGACGGGUUUGUUAUCGUUCACGUCGCUGAUGAAAACCCGCACAUAUGCUGUGUCUGCAAGAAAGAACGACAAGAGGAAGGAGAUUAAACGCCAUGGAGCUACAACUCGACAGGUAGUAUUUGCUAAGGAGAUGAGCCCUUCUGCUGGUGCAGAUAUGUGGCAGAAGACAACGCCAACACAGCGCUAAGGCUCAUUGGAAAUGCUAAGCAGUCCCCUCACAUCCCCCGGAGAGGAGGCUUUGCUAUUCCAAACCAUCACCCUUACCUCUAAUACCUUCUCCACAAACAUUUGUUAAAAACCCUAAUUCGUAACGCAAAGCUUCCUAUUACAUCACCUGCGAUACCGAAACAGAGUUAAUUCUGCCAUCAUGAAGGACCAAGCCAAACACACAAUUCAGAUUUCUGAACAGCAAACUGCGAAAUUCGAUGGUUUUGUAAAAUGAUGUACCACAACCCUCAGAGAGUUUCUCUACAGGGAAGAGACAAGAGGCUGUCUGGUUACGCUGUUAGAAUGAAUGAAAGGAAAGAUUCUCUUUUCAUUUGCCCUCGCAGGAGGCAAAUGAAUAGAAUGCUAUAGGCAUUUAUUGUCUAUGUAAAACAAUGUGCACAGUGCAUGAAUUCCUUUUGUACUUUGUUUCAGCUGAGCACAUUGGGUUUAACAGCCCUAGCUACAUUACAGUACUUAAUGUUUUAUUUUUUGGCUGCGGAUCCAACUUUUCUGACCUAUUUUUCUCCGGACUAAAGAUCCCGACGCUUCUACGCAUGUGUUUAUGCUCUACUUUACGCACAGUCUCUGUUCUACUUGUAAAAAUAAAAAACAGGCUACUCUGGCGAAUGGGGCUCAUUUAAUCAAGUUAGAUCAAAGCUGAAUCAAUGUCUGCACAAUCACAUAAUGAUAGUAUUCUACAUAACAGAACUGAAUAUAAUAGCAUAGUAUAACAUUACUGUACGACAAAAACCCCUCUCAUGUGGCCAAAACUCAACAGGCAAAAUACACAGGUAGGCCACUAGGCAAAAUACACAUGUAGGCCACUAGGCAAAAUACACAUGUAGGCCACUAGGCAAAAUACACAGGAAGGCUAUGCUACUUUGUUAACAUCAUCUGCUCUAAAAUCCGCUCACUGUACAUCAUUUAAAACAACGCUGUAGGCUACUUCCAAACAACACAGUAACUCAAGAAGAUCUAAAUACAUAUCCUCAUGAAACUGAGAUCAAAUGGUUGGUAUGCAGAUGCUGCAUGAACGUUUCACCGGGAAAACUUUAAUAAUAAACAUUCAAGAUUGACAGUGAGAAAUGUGAAGGGAAGGAGACCACACAAAUUUGUGAGGAAAAUAGAGGUAAAGAAACACAUGCGUAGAACGUGAUAUGUGCAUAAGAUUCAUGUCGGAGAAAAGUCGUCUCCGCAGCCACUGCCUUUUUUGUUUUUACAGGACUGCAGUAGUCAAAUCAGGGUCAUUUUUAUUAGAUACCAAACAUCACUGCAAACACAGAAAAAAACUCACUGCAAAUCGGAAAAAACCUCACUGCAAAUCGGAAAAACAUCACUGCAAAUCCGAAAAAAUAUCACUGCAAAUCGGAAAAACAUCACUGCAAAUCGGAAAAACAUCACUGCAAAUCGGGGAAAACACCACUGCAAAUCGGAAAAUCAUCACUGCAAAUCGGAAAACAUCACUGCAAACCUUUUUGCUAUGUUGUGCCCUAAUAUAUACAACCCAGCCCUCACCAAAGUUGGGCUGUUUGUUCCUCCCGGGCCGUGCUGACUCCAUGCCGUCUUCAGACUGCACCUCCAGUAGGUAGGAUCCCUGUGCCUCGCGGUCAAACACCGCCUC